rnacentral:rRNA from 1 species
UACGUAGGGGGGCAAGCGUUGUCCGGAUUUAUUGGGCGUAAAGAGCGUGUAGGCGGCCACACAGGUCUGCUGUGAAAACUCGAGGCUCAACCUCGAGCUGUCGGUGGAAACCGUGUGGCUAGAGUCCGGAAGAGGAGAGUGGAAUUCCCGGUGUAGCGGUGAAAUGCGCAGAUAUCGGGAAGAACACCCGUGGCGAAGGCGGCUCUCUGGGACGGUACUGACGCUGAGACGCGAAAGCGUGGGGAGCGAACGGG